GGGCCAGGGGGUCUGCUUAUAUAGUCCCCUCAGGUGAACGUGGGCCGUUGGAUCAACCCGACAUUGAUUGAACGGUUAUCCUUGAUCCUUUAGGUCGGUGGAGCGUAAUCCUAAAAGAGAGUCCUGAUUGGACUCCAGAGGGGGGCAGGCGCCCUGGGCCAGGCCCCGUUCUGCCUCCGCUUCGUUCUCGUGGCUUCUGGAGUCUUCUAGAUGGUAGAAAAUUGUGCGGUGCUUUAAUAUCUCUAUGUAAUCCCGACAUGUGGGUCUUUCUUCCUUAUUUCCUGAUAACCCCCUGCAGAAACAGAUAAACAACAAAACUCAUGCAAUUCUGUCAGAUCAAACCCUAAUUCUAGGUAUUGUUUGUAUGUUGGUCCUUUCUCUUGUUUAUUUGAUAAUUAAAAUUGAUACUUAAGAACCAUCAAUAGGGUGAUAACUGAUGGUGAAUAUCUUAUUCUACAAUUGCUCCUUAGGGAUAACAUACUUCCCUGAUCUGAGAACAUAGAUUUGGCUGUCUUUCUUUUCUUUUGCAUUGGGACUUUUUUCCUCUUUUUUCUUUUUCUCUUCUUUUCUCUCUCUUUUUUAGAGAUCAGCCAUCCCUUUAAAUUCAAUGACAACGGUAGGGAGUAUCAACUGGGAUAACUGGAGCUUUAUUGGAUAAGUAGAAUAAGACAUUGAAUAUUUUUGGGUGUCUUCUCCUAGUGUAUGAGCAGAACAUUUUCUAAGUGGUUGUGGAAUGUGUGUGGGUGAAUGAAGGAAUGCAUACUCCUAGGGUAGGAGCAACGUAGGUGCGUGUCUCUAGGAUAGAAACAACACAGAGUGUAGUGCGUAUAUGUGGGUGGUACUUCUAGGAACAGAAGUAGCACAUAGUGAAUGUGGUGGAUGAAAGUGAUUGCAUACUUUUGAGGAUAGAAGUAGCUAAGAUCAAUAGAUGGAGAGCACAUAAUAUUGACUUUAACUGCAUGACUAGUUCCAUAUGGACUACACAACUUAACUACUCUCAUUGAUUAUAGGUUGAAAUAUAAGUGGAAAGGUUUUCCUAAUCUAAUCUGCAUCAGUAUUUGGAUAUGGUAGGAAUUUUAAACUCUCAUCAUAAAGGAACUCAUUAUGUAGCAAUUUAAGAUUUUCAAAAUAAAGUUCUCCAGAACUCUUGUAUCUCUAGGAGCGAGACUGAUAGCGGCUCAAAAGCUUCCCAUAUCAUAUCCGUCAACUACCUGGACUUAGAUCAAGCAUUUGCUACCCACAAGUUUUAGGCUCAGAGCAAAUCUUAAGUCUAAAUAGUUGUGCCUAAAACUCAAGAGAGUACAAGGUUGAAAACUAGGUCCUUGCAAAGAAUUACAGCAGAGAAACUAUUCAUCAUCACCAUAUAAAAGUUAAUUCUAGAGGUUUAUCUUAACAAAUUCAUUAGAAGCUCUCCUAGCAAGAUUAAUUUUGAAAGAUAAAGCAUUUAUUGGGUUUCUAAGAUAAUUCAUCUUUUUAUCUUGUCAUAAUGCACUAGGCAUAAAUAGAUAAGUGAGUAAGGGAUACUUAGCUCGGUGUACAAAGUUGCUCUCCCCCAAGUAGGAUGUUGACAUAGUCUGUUG
rnacentral:lncRNA from 1 species